UCCUGCUCUCUCUUCUGCAGGGAGGGAUUAUGGGUUUCUGGGUUCCCCCACCCCACGGGGAAAGGAAGUGUCUACGUGGCCUACUGAAAUAGGAUAGGCGGAAAUGAGCUAAGGUUCCCGCGAGUGGGGAAGCGCGAGGUCAAAUCUAGGGCCACGCCCCCGAGGCUGUUGCGCAACUCUCGGAGAAGGACGAAAAAGGCCCAAUGGAGGUUUUGAUGUGUGUGCUAGUGGGGGUGCUGGCUGACUUCAUGGUUAUGUGAAUGACACAUUUCACUUGGAACUAUCAUGUGAAGUUGUCCAUGUUACAUAUCAACCAAGAGAUGAAGACUGAUUUCUACCUGUGUUUGUUGAUGCCUAUAAUUUAAGUUUGCCUCAAGAGGAUGCUUUCAGCCUUUUUCCAGAGGUGGUCACUCUAUUGCAGAAGAAGUGGGGUUAUCCAACAAGAGUGAGGGAGAACAACAGCUUAACCAAAACAACUCUGAUAUUCCCAAUGGAGAUCAAGAAAUCCAACAACCAGAAGA